UUUGUUAUCUCACAAAAAUGAAACUUUUGGUUCCUUUAGUUUUACUAUUCUCUUCGUCCAUAAUGGCUGCUGAAGAAGCUAGCCGGACGAAGAAAAAUAUUCUUCCACUCGCUGCACCUAUGCUCCUGAGCCCCACACCAGUGAUAACUCGCUCAAUGAUGAUGAUGCCCGCCAUGCCUGCAAUGACCUCAAUGCCUGCCAUGCCAACCAUGUUGUUACCCUCGAUGACACCUCUCAGCCCGGUGAUGCCUUACACGACAACUUACAGCUACCUUCCUUCAGUUACCACAAUGAUGUCAUCAUCAAUCGCAAUGCCUGCCCCCGCCAUCAUGAAAUCAAUGCCCAUGGCCUUGAUGUCAGGAAAAAUUAUGAUGAUGGACAAAUCUAUGUCUGGGAUGCCAAUGAUGUCCAUGGAGAAGGGUAUGCCCAUGAUGAUGAGUAAGUCCAUGCCACAGAUGUCAAUGGAGAAGGGCAUGCCAACGAUGAUGGACAAAUCUAUGUCCGAAAUGCCCAUGGAGAAGGACAUGUCAAUGAUGAUGGGCAAGUCUAUGCCACAGAUGUCUAUGGAGAAGGGUAUGCCAAUGAUGAUGGAGAAAUCUAUGUCCGAAAUGCCCAUGGAGAAAGACAUGUCUAUGAUGAUGGGCAAGGCUAUGCCACAGAUGUCUAUGGAGAAGGGUAUGCCAAUGAUGAUGGAGAAAUCUAUGUCCGAAAUGCCCAUGGAGAAGGACAUGUCAAUGAUGAUGGGCAAGUCUAUGCCACAGAUGCCAAUGCAGCAGGAUAUGCUUAGUAUGCUGAUGGACAAAUCUAUGUCACAGAUGCCCAUGGAGAAGGACAUGCCAAUGAUGAUGGGCAAGUCUAUGCAGGAUAUGUCGAUGGAGAAGGAUAUGUCAAUGAUGAUGGAUAGCAACAAAAACAUGGAGGGCAUGUCUCUCGAAAAAAUGAUGAUGGAAAAGCAAGCGUCCACCAUGCCGAUGGGAAGAAUGAUGAUGGAGAAAUCUAUGCCUGCACUCGCUGGAAGCAACAUGGGAAUGAUGGGAAUGGGAGGUUCUGGUGCGAUUUCGAUGGAAUCGAGUCAGGGCAGAAGGCAAGCAGAUCUGAAAAAUAUGAAUCUCCCACGAUAAGACCAUGGUGGUUAUUCUCUUCCUCAACUAGUGGAUAUUUCACAAGAGUAUAAAGGAGCGAAGUUAUGCAAUGAAAAAGGCAAGACCAUCCAACAAUUAAAUUAAGCCCAUAUCUACUUUUGAGAAUUACAAUCAAGGGAAAAGCUCUAAACCUCUUCCUCGCUGAUCACCACAAGCUCCAGAUGGCGAUGGACAUUGAAUUAUAACUCGCAGAGGAUCCAUUUCUCGGUAUCGUAGCGCUGUCAAUAUCAGUUGAAAUGACUGCGUGGAAGGCUGUGAAAAAUUUUGAGCAUAAAAAGGGCAAGAGGGAAACUUCAAAUUCUGUGAUCUAUAAUUUUAAGUUAGGUUUUAUUUCAAUUGACAAUCCCGGGAUUUAGAAAUGCUUGUUUAAGUAUUCCACUAAUCUUAUAGUUUGAAUUCAGCAACUUUGUAAGUGCAAAUUUGAUUGAAAUUCUUUCGUGGUUGAAAAUUUCUGACGUUAUUAAAAAUAUUAAAAUUAUGUUUUACUAAGACAUUGUUUCUUAUUCUCUAACCUCUAUCUCACGCAAUUUUUGCCCUUGUCGAUUCUGUUUAGAUUCAGAGUCAAUUGAAACUAGGAUCUUUUAAAGAUCUACUGUUUUCAAAAAGUUCAUUGCACUACUCAACUUUUAAUUUUAAUAAUUGUUUAUUCCUUUGAAAUUCAUUUGGCCUCGCUUUUACUGUAACUUUCAAAUUGGACGGUAUUUUACAAAUUGGAACAAAAAUUUUAGGCUCAUUUCAGAAACAGCAUAAGUGCCAUAAGUUCUCGUAAGCAGAUACGUGCUUUUAUGAAUGAGCUUGAAAUUGCAGUUCCUACAAUUGCAAAAUCUAGUCCAAUUAAUCUAAUGUAUUGUCACUCAAGAGGAAUUAACAUCCCACUUUCUGACGACAUACAGAAUGGUUAAAUUCAAUACAAAAUAAGAAUGGUAAUUUUGGCAUGUAUGCUUAUUUAAAAUCUCAAAAAAUGGUGUGUCUAUUUCGAAAUAGAAGAAAAAUUUUAUUUGUUGAUUUGGGAAAAGGAAAAAAAAUCAUAAAAAUUAUUGAUCUAAGGAAUGCCAAUCGAUUAAAUAAUUGGCAUAACAACUGUCAACCAGUUUUCUACACUGUUGUUAGUUUUGCACUGGGCAUUGUAGCAAUAUUUCUGAGAAUUUUAGAACUUAAAUUGCAAGACUAAAAAUGAUCAAUAUUUAUGCAACUUCGUUUAAUUAUUUGCGCCAUUAAAGUCAGCCGAGGAGAGUGUAUUAUUACUACUUUCAAACCUCCUUGCACACUUUUGUCUUCAAGUUAUUGAGGAUGAAGUACACUUGUUUUCUUACUUAUCUAUCAGUAAAGGAUGUACAAAAUUGUACAAAUUGUCGAAAGCUUUGAAAAAACUGGUAUAACCAAGAUGGAAGAAAGACGAGCAUACUUGCAGAGUGACUGAUUGUGAGUUUAAAGUAAAAGCAAGUUGUUCAAGAGAAAUUCCAAGGAAUACAUUUUUAAUCCUUUUAAAUGUUCGACUUAUCAUGCAACUUGACAACCAAGUAUCAAGGGCGCGGUUAGAAACAGCACGUUUAUCCCUCCUUUCUGACACGAAAAAAAUAACGCUUGCGCCAAGGGCCAUGCGGGGAGAGAAUGAUAAUGGCAAAAGUGAACGAGAAGCAUUGCAGAAAGAAAACACACAAUGAGGUGUAAAUUAAUCGAGGGACGAAUGAUUUAUAUUAUUUGCGGGGAAAUUUCAACAUUGUGCAUUUUCAUUAUAUUUUCUUGAAGUAGAAUAAUAAUGAAACAAGUCAAAGAGUUGCUUAUACACGAGUUGAGUGGCAUCGGGGUCGAUGCUGGAUAUUUUUUUUUCUACACUAUUGAGAGAGGCAUUUAAUUUGAUUGAAAUAAAUAAAUAAAGAAAUAAACAAUAAUUUGAAAAUGAAUCGAUCUCUUUUUGUGAAAUGAGUUUGACAUACCGACUGCAGUUUUGUUCUGUUGACGAGAAGACCGAUUUAUGAACCAAAAAUUCAGCCUCCAGCAUUAUUUCUGCCCUGCAGGAAAAUUCCUUUUCAGGUGCAAGACAUCUUUAAUCUUGUCGAAAAAAAAGUUACCGCUCAAGGCAAUUCUUCCAUCGAAAUAGUAUGCCGAAAUCAUUUUACUGUUCCACAUGACUUUGGUAGACUGUGGUUUUUUAUGUGCAGACAUUGUGAAUUGACUUACGCAUAAAACGUUAUUUUUUCAAUUCUGAAUUGAAUACGGAAAGUUCUAAUGCGUUUACUGUAUUUUAAGAAAAAAUGCUGAUAGAGCAAAUAUACUGUGCUGCUUAAUUUUAUACCGUGUCUAAUGGUCUAUGGUGACGACGCAAAGAUACGCAUUUUCGUAACUUAAUCAGCGAAAUUUCAAUCACAAAUGCUCUAAAAAUCAGAGAUUAAUCAUACACCGAGAUCGAGGUUUGGUGUAAUUAAAAAUCCGUACCGUGAUAAAUAUGAUAUAUCACAAAUAAUCUUCAGAGGCACAAAAAUACCUCAAAUAUCAUUAAGGCAUGUACUUCCUUUGUGAUCUGGUCGCCUUUUCACCUAGAAACUCACGAACUGACUAUAUAGACUUCAUUUUGCAAUGAGGAACUUCAAAAUUAGUUCUCAAAAACCACUAAAAAUAAAAAAAAUAAAAAAAUAAAUAAAAUCACUCAUCUGCACAAAGAUAUCAUGCAGCGACUUGUGCGUUAUUUGUGUUACUUAUCAACCAAGAGUGAUAGUUAUCAUCCUAACUAUGCAAAAUGUAGUCCAUAAUACAAUCCGGCAACACGGCUAUGAUAACCAUUGAAGAUCUCUUCGUUUCUUAAAAGCUCAUUGAUACUGUAUAAAAAAUGUUGACAACAUUUCGUUUUUGUAAAAUUUACGAAGUUUCACAAACAACACCUGUUUAUGUAUGUGCCAUUGUAUUUAAAACUUUAAAACGCAUCGCGGUGAUGAUCUCUAAAAAUAAACAAAGAGUAUUCCCGCACCAUUUCAGUUUUUUCCUGCUUUCCAGUCCCUCCUGCCUCCGGCGAGAGAUCGAGAGUUCGCGAGGACACUUUAUCGCAUCUCUAACAUAAGGGCGUACCUCUAUUUCCGUGUGAGCUCUAGAAAGGGUGGAUUUAGAUGUAAAACAAGGUUCACGUGGAAAUUGAGAAAUGCUCUUACGUCAGAGGAACGAUGACUUGUUCUGAUUCCCGAGUGCAUCUGUCAAACCGGUUGUUCGGUGACCUUCAAGAUGAGAUGGUCAUUGCUCAGGAUGAAGAGCCUCCGUUUGCAGUGAAUCGAUCGAUGUUAAAACCGAGCAUGGCCAUUUCUAUUGAGCCUUGAAAUCCAUAAGAUUGCUUUUAUGCUUUCGCAUGUGCUGUUUUA
rnacentral:lncRNA from 1 species